UACGGAGGGUGCAAGCGUUAUCCGGAUUUAUUGGGUUUAAAGGGUCCGUAGGCGGACGUUUAAGUCAGCGGUGAAAGCCCAUAGCUUAACUAUGGAAUUGCCGUUGAUACUGAUCGUCUUGAGUACAUGUGAGGUUGGCGGAAUGUGUGGUGUAGCGGUGAAAUGCUUAGAUAUCACACAGAACACCGAUUGCGAAGGCAGCUGGCCAACAUGUAACUGACGCUGAGGGACGAAAGUGUGGGGAUCAAACAGG
rnacentral:rRNA from 1 species